UUAAUAUAUACAUUUGGUUGAAUCUUGUUGUCAUUAUUUUUUUCAGUAAAGAAGGUAUAAAUUAAUGCAAAAAGAUGAGUAAAAGUAGUGCAAAUUAAUAACUCGAAUCUAGUCAAAAUGUGUACAAAAGGUAAAAAAAAGGUAAUAAAUCGAAAAUUGUCUCACCAGUUUAGGACAAAUUAAAUUGCUGUUUGGAUCAAAUUUGAAAAAUGUAUUAGUACAGUGAUCAUUAAAAGAAAUUAUCAAAAAGUAUAUCGCAAAACAAAAUUUACAUUUCAAGUUUCUCUAUGAUUUGUGAAUUAUAAAAUAGCAACAAGAGUCAGUAAAUUUUAGGUUAUUUGAUUCUUCGAUCAAAUAAAUAUAUAUGCAAGUGCAAUAUUAAACGUCAUGAAAUUUAAGGUUAUGUGGAUAUUUGGAAAAUAUAACGGAGAAUAUUAUUCGUGAAAAUGGAAAUUAAGUAAAAUACAUAACGAAAGGUUUCAUGUUUAUGAUUGUUAAUGAUGACCGUGGGAUCAAGUGGUUUGAAGACAUACAUUUAUGAGGAUAAUGAUGUUCUUCUGAGAGAGACAGAGAUGAGAAAAUAGAUGUGAUAUUCGAUAAGAUAUACUGAAGAUAGGAGAAGAUAUAGAAUAUAUAAAAAGGGAAGUAAAAAAAUUAAGAAAGAAAAACGUCCAACAUGCUUUUUGCCAGAAAACCAUGUCGGAAAAUUUAGCCUCUAAAUUCGAAGUUAAACUUCCACUGUAAACAAUGGAAGAAUUUGACAAAUUAAAGGGACUUUUUCCGACUAAUAAAGAACUGCAACACUCUUUAAAAUCGACCCUGUUAUAUAGCAUUGAUUUAAGUGAGCAGACUUAAAAACAAUUAUUGUUCUUCAAAUUUUAUCGGCUUUAUUGAGUCGUGAGAUGCGGCAGUGAGGUUCAGCUCAUCCAAAACUAGUACCGGAUAAAAAAAUAUUAAAUAGAACAAAUUGAUGCAAAAUCUUAUUGAAGGUCUAAUUAUACUUUCAAAUCUACGGCAAGUAAAGAGAAGUAUUCGAAACCAGAAAUAAUUGAUGCAAUGGGAUAAAUUCUUACACUUUUUGAUGACUCUCAAACCUUGGGAAAUUUUACUGAGGCGUCUUCGUCGUCUAUAAAGGGCUUAAGGUCCUCUCAGGACGGGAGGUCGUGCAUCACAAGAGUCUGGCAGGAUAAUAGCCCCUCCUGAGUCUUAUUGCCGG